GCGAAAAUAGCUCAAUAGGUAGAGCAUAAUCUUGCCAAGAUUAUGGUUGAGGGUUCGAAUCCCUUUUUUCGCU
rnacentral:tRNA from 4 species